CUACAAUUUCGGCGCACGACUGCCUGGCCAUGACCAUUAGGUAUGCCAAGGAAGUGCGAGAUAAAUUGGCGCACUACUUCGUCACAGACGGUCAGGUGCCUUGGCAGGACAAAGUGGUGAACAGCACUUGAGGCGUACAAGGUGAAGGUGUCGACACGAGUCUCCUCAGCCGUAUCAGGGGUACGUUCCGGUUCCGCUGCAUGUCUUGGCCGAGGCGGUGAUCUGCAGUGAUUAAAAUUUCUUUCUA